rnacentral:rRNA from 1 species
UCCCUCAGAAUGGUUGGAAAUCAUUCAUAGAGUGUAAAGGCAUAAGGGAGCUUGACUGCGAGACCUACAAGUCGAGCAGGGUCGAAAGACGGACUUAGUGAUCCGGUGGUUCCGCAUGGAAGGGCCAUCGCUCAACGGAUAAAAGCUACCCCGGGGAUAACAGGCUUAUCUCCCCCAAGAGUUCACAUCGACGGGGAGGUUUGGCACCUCGAUGUCGGCUCAUCGCAUCCUGGGGCUGUAGUCGGUCCCAAGGGUUGGGCUGUUCGCCCAUUAAAGCGGUACGCGAGCUGGGUUCAGAACGUCGUGAGACAGUUCGGUCCCUAUCCGUCGUGGGCGUAGGAAAUUUGAGAGGAGCUGUCCUUAGUACGAGAGGACCGGGAUGGACAUACCUCUGGUGUACCAGUUGUCGUGCCAACGGCAUAGCUGGGUAGCUAUGUGUGGACGGGAUAAGUGCUGAAAGCAUCUAAGCAUGAAGCCCCCCUCAAGAUGAGAUUUCCCAACUUCGGUUAUAAGAUCCCUCAAAGAUGAUGAGGUUAAUAGGUUCGAGGUGGAAGCAUGGUGACAUGUGGAGCUGACGAAUACUAAUCGAUCGAAGACUUAAUCAAA